rnacentral:rRNA from 1 species
UACGUAGGGUGCAAGCGUUGUCCGGAAUUAUUGGGCGUAAAGAGCUCGUAGGCGGCUCGUCACGUCGGCUGUGAAAACCCGGGGCUCAACCCCGGGCCUGCAGUCGAUACGGGCGAGCUAGAGUUCGGCAGGGGAGACUGGAAUUCCUGGUGUAGCGGUGAAAAUGCGCAGAUAUCAGGAGGAACACCGGUGGCGAAGGCGGUCUCUGG